rnacentral:tRNA from 1 species
GGGCCUGUAGCUCAGACGGAUAGAGCAACGGUUUCCUAAACCGUGGGUCGGGGGUUCGAAUCCCUCCAGGCCUACCA